UUACGGCCACUUCACGUUGAAACUCCGGUUCACGUACGAUCACCGAAGUUAAGCAAGGUCGAUCCUUGUCAAUACCUAGAUGGGUGAAUUUUGGAAAUACCUGGUGCUGUAAG